AAGAGAACUUGCCCUUCGGGGUAGAUCUCCCACCCUUUGUUUAUCAUACUUUGUUGCUUUGGCGGGCCUGCCUCACGGCUGCUGGCGCAAGCUGGCUCGUGCCCGCCAGAGACCCCCAAACUCUGAAUAUUGUCGUCUGAGUAAUAUAUAAUAAGUUA
rnacentral:misc_RNA from 1 species